UGUGGCUCAGUGGUAAAGCACUUGCUUAGCAUGUAUGAGGCACUGGGUUCGAUUCUCAGCA
rnacentral:tRNA from 1 species